rnacentral:rRNA from 1 species
GACGAACGCUGGCGGCGUGCUUAACACAUGCAAGUCGAACGGUAAGGCCCUUCGGGGUACACGAGUGGCGAACGGGUGAGUAACACGUGGGUGAUCUGCCCUGCACUUCGGGAUAAGCCUGGGAAACUGGGUCUAAUACCGGAUAGGACCACUGCCUGCAUGGGUGGUGGUGGAAAGCUUUUGCGGUGUGGGAUGGGCCCGCGGCCUAUCAGCUUGUUGGUGGGGUGAUGGCCUACCAAGGCGACGACGGGUAGCCGGCCUGAGAGGGUGACCGGCCACACUGGGGCUGAGAUACGGCCCAGACUCCUACGGGAGGCAGCAGUGGGGAAUAUUGCACAAUGGGCGCAAGCCUGAUGCAGCGACGCCGCGUGAGGGAUGACGGCCUUCGGGUUGUAAACCUCUUUCAGCACCGACGAAACGCAAGUGACGGUAGGUGCAGAAGAAGGACCGGCCAACUACGUGCCAGCAGCCGCCGCCG